rnacentral:rRNA from 1 species
AGCUCCAAUAGCGUAUAUUAAAGUUGUUGCAGUUAAAAAGCUCGUAGUUGAAUUUCCGAGGCAAGGGAUUAGUCCGACCUUUGGUGGGUAUUUAAUCCUCUUGCCUCGUCCUUGAGUGGUGCUUCUUGGUAUUAAGUUAUCGAGGAGAUAGCCGCUCAUCGUUUACUGUGAGAAAAUUAGAGUGUUCAAAGCAGGCUUAUGCCGUUGAAUAUAUUAGCAUGGAAUAAUAAGAUAGGACCUCGGUACUAUUUUGCUGGUUUGAGAACCAAGGUAAUGAUGAAUAGGGACAGUUGGGGGUAUUCGUAUUCAGUUGUCAGAGGUGAAAUUCUUAGAUUUACGGAAGACGAACUACUGCGAAAGCAUUUACCAAGGAUGUUUUCA